CCCGCAGGAUAUUAGUCAAUGCUCGCAAGAGUGAACUAGCUAACUGAAAUCUUAAAUAAUAAAAUAUUUAAGAUAAGGUAAGAGAAAAUAAUGAUAUUAUCUUACUAUUAGUGUCGUCUAAAUUUGGUGCCAGAAGACUCGGUAAGACCUUAGACGCAAACGUUAAUCGUCAUAAUCAGGCGUAAAGGGUGUGUAGGCGGCUUUAAAAAUAAUUAUAUUUAAAUUAAAGCUAGAAUCUAAAAGAGGGUAAGCUAAACAACAUAAUUAAUUAGGACUGACAACUUAUAAUAAUGUGGAGUACUAAAGGUUAAAGCUAUUUAUCUACUUAAGAUUGACGCUCAGAAACGAAGGGGAGAAUAAGAAACUUAGAUUAGAGACCUAAUUAUCUCUCUCAGUCAACGAUGAAUGGUAGUUAUUAAAAAUACAAAUAUAAUUUAUAUUAUAUAAAUAUUAGUAACGAGGUUAACACGAUGACCAUUCCGCCUUGUUAGUAAGACUGCAAAGUUGAAAACAAAAAAAUUAGUCGGUCUUGAAGCAAACGAAGUGAAGCAUGUUAUUUAAUUCGAUAACCCC
rnacentral:rRNA from 1 species